UACGUAGGGGGCUAGCGUUGUCCGGAUUUAUUGGGCGUAAAGAGCGUGUAGGCGGCCAGGUAGGUCCGGUGUGAAAACUCGAGGCUUAACCUCGAGAUGUCAUCGGAAACCAUCUGGCUAGAGUCCGGAAGAGGAAAGUGGAAUUCCUGGUGUAGCGGUGAAAUGCGCAGAUAUCAGGAAGAACACCAAUGGCGAAGGCAGCACUCUGGGACGUGACUGACGCUGAGACGCGAAAGCGUGGGGAGCGAACAGG
rnacentral:rRNA from 1 species